AUUUUUCAUUACAUAUAGUUUAAAAGCCUUUUUUGAAAAUCUUAUAAAAUGCUUCUUUUUUUUUUCAUAGUUUUUGAGAGAAUAAGGUUCCAAUGUUAGAUGCAUGAACUGAGUGAAUCAUUUCCUGCAAAAUUUCAAUUAAUUAUACCUCAAAAACAAGGACAUAGACCUAUAAUUUUUUUCUGCUUUUAUAGUUCAGCUUUUUUUUACUGAUGCAACACACAUGAUGGUGAUUUGUGUACCAAGAUCAUACUUUAUCC
rnacentral:lncRNA from 1 species